rnacentral:rRNA from 1 species
CCUACGGGUGGCACCAGUGGGGAAUAUUGGACAAUGGGCGAAAGCCUGAUCCAGCAAUGCCGCGUGUGUGAAGAAGGUCUUCGGAUUGUAAAGCACUUUCGACGGGGACGAUGAUGACGGUACCCGUAGAAGAAGCCCCGGCUAACUUCGUGCCAGCAGCCGCGGUAAUACGAAGGGGGCUAGCGUUGCUCGGAAUGACUGGGCGUAAAGGGCGCGUAGGCGGUUUAUGCAGUCAGAUGUGAAAUCCCCGGGCUUAACCUGGGAACUGCAUUUGAGACGCAUAGACUAGAGGUCGAGAGAGGGUUGUGGAAUUCCCAGUGUAGAGGUGAAAUUCGUAGAUAUUGGGAAGAACACCGGUGGCGAAGGCGGCAACCUGGCUCGAUACUGACGCUGAGGCGCGAAAGCGUGGGGAGCAAACAGGAUUAGAUACCCGUGUAGUC